UAAGCAUAUCAAUAAGCGGAGGAAAAGAAACCAACAGGGAUUGCCUUUAGUAACGGCGAGUGAAGCGGCAACAGCUCAAAUUUGAAAGCUGGCUCCUUCGGAGUCCGCGUUGUAAUUUGUAGAGGAUGAUUCGGCGAGGGCUCCCGCCUAAGUCCCCUGGAACGGGGCGUCAUAGAGGGUGAGAAUCCCGUAUGCGGUGGGUUGCCUUAGCCAUGUGAAUCUCCUUCGACGAGUCGAGUUGUUUGGGAAUGCAGCUCUAAAUGGGAGGUAAAUUUCUUCUAAAGCUAAAUACCGGCCAGAGACCGAUAGCGCACAAGUAGAGUGAUCGAAAGAUGAAAAGCACUUUGGAAAGAGAGUUAAAAAGUACGUGAAAUUGUUGAAAGGGAAGCGCUUGCAGCCAGACUUGUCCGCAGUUGCUCAACCGGUCUCCUGACCGGUGUACUCUUCUGCGGCCAGGCCAGCAUCAGUUCGGGCGGUCGGAUAAAGGCCCUGGGAAUGUAGCUCCUCUCGGGGAGUGUUAUAGCCCAGGGUGGAAUGCGGCCAGCCUGGACUGAGGAUCUCGCUUCGGCUAGGAUGCUGGCGUAAUGGCUGUAAGCGGCCCGUCUUGAAACACGGACCAAGGAGUCUAACAUCUAUGCGAGUGUUUGGGUGUCAAACCCAUGCGCGUAAUGAAAGUGAACGGAGGUGGGAACCCUCACGGGUGCACCAUCGACCGAUCCUGAUGUCUUCGGAUGGAUUUGAGUAAGAGCAUAGCUGUUGGGACCCGAAAGAUGGUGAACUAUGCCUGAAUAGGGUGAAGCCAGAGGAAACUCUGGUGGAGGCUCGCAGCGGUUCUGACGUGCAAAUCGAUCGUCAAAUUUGGGUAUAGGGGCGAAAGACUAAUCGAACCAUCUAGUAGCUGGUUCCUGCCGAU
rnacentral:rRNA from 1 species